UGGGGAAUUUUCCGCAAUGGGCGAAAGCCUGACGGAGCAAUACCGCGUGAGGGAGGAAGGCUCUUGGGUUGUAAACCUCUUUUCUCAGGGAAGAAUCCUGACGGUACCUGAGGAAUCAGCAUCGGCUAACUCCGUGCCAGCAGCCGCGGUAAUACGGAGGAUGCAAGCGUUAUCCGGAAUUAUUGGGCGUAAAGCGUCCGCAGGUGGCCGAUCGUGUCUGCUGUCAAAGACUAGAGCUCAACUCUGGAAAGGCAGUGGAAACUGGUCAGCUAGAGUACGGUAGGGGUUGAGGGAAUUCCCAGUGUAGCGGUGAAAUGCGUAGAUAUUGGGAAGAACACCAGUGGCGAAGGCGCUCAACUGGGCCGUAACUGACACUCAGGGACGAAAGCUAGGGUAGCGAAAGGGAUUAGAUACCCCCGUAGUCC
rnacentral:rRNA from 1 species